rnacentral:tRNA from 7 species
ACUCUCUUAGUAUAAACAGUACUAUUGACUUCCAAUCAAUAAGCCUCGUAUAACUCGAGAGAGAGUA